rnacentral:lncRNA from 1 species
AAACAAGUCAGUAAAAUUAGGUGAGCUCACAAAGAAUUGGAUGUGAAGAAAGAAGCUGCAAGCAGAAGAACUGUAGUGAAAAUCUUUCCAACUUCACACAGUCCUCAGUGAUUUCUAUCAAGUAUUUUCUUAGUUGUGGCUCAGGUAAAGAACUGUCAUUGUCUUCUUCCAGAUUCUUCACAGAUACUUCCUCCUCUGGAGCUGACAAGAAGUGAGCCACACAGGGAAGCCUUGCCCAAGGGUGGGUGUCCCGGCCCGCAGGGCUUACCUGCAAUGAGCCAUGAUGUCAUUGUAGUAGACUACACAUUUGGAAAGACAAAAAUCAGAAAACUUCUUUCAGCAUAGCUAAAGCCAUCUCCUUUGAGCCUAUAUUUCUGACCAGCAGAUGAGUCAAGGCUUAACAGAGUAAACAGCACUUCUAUCUCAGAAAACUGUGGGAAACGUCUUCAAAGGGAAAAAAGGGGAUCCUAGUUCCUGGGGCAAAGACCCUGGUCCUAUGACCAGAGAAACAGUAAAGUCACAGCAUGGGCCCAGGCUUGCCCCUGGAUUGGACUCUGAUUCUGACAUAUACAGAUAUUUGAUGCCAAGUCACAAAGGCCUGGGACUGCAGGAGGAGGAGAACAUUUUAUCACAGUGUCCAGCAGAAAAAAAUCAAUUUAUUCCCUGGCUCCUUGGUGGCUGACCACGGGCUGCUGAAACUGAAGGGAAUCAGCAGUGGAUCCUGCAACUUGCAG